rnacentral:rRNA from 1 species
GAUGAACGCUAGCGGCAGGCUUAACACAUGCAAGUCGAGGGGUAACAGGGAGUGCUUGCACUCUGCUGACGACCGGCGCACGGGUGCGUAACGCGUAUGCAACCUACCUUCUACAGGGGGAUAGUCCAGAGAAAUUUGGCAUAAUACCCCAUACGAUCAUUUAUUGGCAUCGAUAGAUGAGGAAAACUCCGGUGGUAGAAGAUGGGCAUGCGUCCUAUUAGUUAGUUGGUAAGGUAACGGCUUACCAAGACAUCGAUAGGUAGGGGUCCUGAGAGGGAGAUCCCCCACACUGGUACUGAGACACGGACCAGACUCCUACGGGAGGCAGCAGUGAGGAAUAUUGGACAAUGGAGGCAACUCUGAUCCAGCCAUGCCGCGUGCAGGAAGACGGCCCUACGGGUUGUAAACUGCUUUUAUACAGGAAGAAACGCCGCUACGUGUAGCGGUUUGACGGUACUGUACGAAUAAGGAUCGGCUAACUCCGUGCCAGCAGCCGCGGUAAUACGGAGGAUCCAAGCGUUAUCCGGAAUCAUUGGGUUUAAAGGGUCCGUAGGCGGUUUUUUAAGCCAGAGGUGAAAUCCUGCAGCUCAACUGUAGCAUUGCCUUUGAUACUGAAAGACUUGAGUUAUUGUGAAGUAGUUAGAAUGUGUAGUGUAGCGGUGAAAUGCAUAGAUAUUACACAGAAUACCGAUUGCGAAGGCAGAUUACUAACAAUAUACUGACGCUGAGGGACGAAAGCGUGGGUAGCGAACAGGAUUAGAUACCCUGGUAGUCCACGCCGUAAACGAUGGAUACUAGCUGUUCGACCAACAUUGGUUGGUUGAGUGGCUAAGCGAAAGUGAUAAGUAUCCCACCUGGGGAGUACGCUCGCAAGAGUGAAACUCAAAGGAAUUGACGGGGGCCCGCACAAGCGGUGGAGCAUGUGGUUUAAUUCGAUGAUACGCGAGGAACCUUACCAGGGCUUAAAUGUAAGUUGCAUAGAUCAGAGAUGGUCUUUUCUUCGGACUACUUACAAGGUGCUGCAUGGUUGUCGUCAGCUCGUGCCGUGAGGUGUCAGGUUAAGUCCUAUAACGAGCGCAACCCCUGUCGUUAGUUGCCAGCAAGUAAAGUUGGGCACUCUAGCGAGACUGCCGGUGCAAACCGCGAGGAAGGUGGGGAUGACGUCAAAUCAUCACGGCCCUUACGUCCUGGGCUACACACGUGCUACAAUGGCCGGUACAGAGAGCAGCCACUCCGCGAGGAGGAGCGAAUCUAUAAAACCGGUCUCAGUUCGGAUCGCAGUCUGCAACUCGACUGCGUGAAGCUGGAAUCGCUAGUAAUCGGAUAUCAGCCAUGAUCCGGUGAAUACGUUCCCGGGCCU